UGGAUUAGUGGCGAACGGGUGAGUAACCCGUGAGUAACCUGCCCUUGACUCUGGGAUAAGCCUGGGAAACUGGGUCUAAUACCGGAUAUGACCUUCCAUCGCAUGGUGGUUGGUGGAAAGCUUUUGUGGUUUUGGAUGGACUCGCGGCCUAUCAGCUUGUUGGUGAGGUAAUGGCUUACCAAGGCGACGACGGGUAGCCGGCCUGAGAGGGUGACCGGCCACACUGGGACUGAGACACGGCCCAGACUCCUACGGGAGGCAGCAGUGGGGAAUAUUGCACAAUGGGCGCAAGCCUGAUGCAGCGACGCCGCGUGAGGGAUGACGGCCUUCGGGUUGUAAACCUCUUUCAGUAGGGAAGAAGCGAAAGUGACGGUACCUGCAGAAGAAGCGCCGGCUAACUACGUGCCAGCAGCCGCGGUAAUACGUAGGGCGCAAGCGUUAUCCGGAAUUAUUGGGCGUAAAGAGCUCGUAGGCGGUUUGUCGCGUCUGCCGUGAAAGUCCGGGGCUCAACUCCGGAUCUGCGGUGGGUACGGGCAGACUAGAGUGAUGUAGGGGAGACUGGAAUUCCUGGUGUAGCGGUGAAAUGCGCAGAUAUCAGGAGGAACACCGAUGGCGAAGGCAGGUCUCUGGGCAUUAACUGACGCUGAGGAGCGAAAGCAUGGGGAGCGAACAGGAUUAGAUACCCUGGUAGUCCAUGCCGUAAACGUUGGGCACUAGGUGUGGGGGACAUUCCACGUUUUCCGCGCCGUAGCUAACGCAUUAAGUGCCCCGCCUGGGGAGUACGGCCGCAAGGCUAAACUCAAAGGAAUUGACGGGGGCCCGCACAAGCGGCGGAGCAUGCGGAUUAAUUCGAUGCAACGCGAAGAACCUUACCAAGGCUUGACAUGGACCGGACCGCCGCAGAAAUGUGGUUUCCCCUUUGGGGCUGGUUUACAGGUGGUGCAUG
rnacentral:rRNA from 1 species